UUUAAAUUAUUCUUGGUUUUUAGUUCAAAAAUUUUAAUUAGUUUUCUCAGAUAAAUUUUGGCUCAUUUGGUUUGGAAAAUUAAUUCGAAAAAAAAAACACUUACGUUGUGGAAGGUUUUGUUGAGUUCAUCAAGCUGCUUUUCAUGUUUCUUACGUAGACGCUCCCGUUCCUUAUCCUGCUUCAUUUUGGCCACUUUCCUCUCGUCCAUGAAUUUUUUGGUAUUAUUCUGCUUCUUCUCUCUCAACUUACGGUCCUUAUCGUUCUUGGUCUUCAGCGUUUUGUCGCUGUUGACCUCACGCGCGGUCUCCACAGAAAUGCGUGCUUGAGACGAAUUCAACUCUUUGAUGUCUCUGUUAAUGACUUUAAAAUUAAUUUAACAACUAAUUAUUCAAUGGUUGCUCGCCUCUCAUGUUUCGCCUCAAGUUGCUUCAUCUGGGCACCCUGCACGCCCUCCAUUAGUUUUCGCAGCACCUCCUGAUUGUCACGCAGCUGCUGACGAAGGGUUUCCCACCUCUCGCGCUGCUGCCGUUCCACCAUCUCCGACCACUGAGCCAUUUGCUCUACCACCAAUUUCCGCACCGCAGGAUCUUGAGCCGCUUCAUUGGGCCUUAAAUUUUUUGUGUUAAAAAAAUGGGAAUUCAAAACAAAUAAUAACCCACUUUUUUCCUUUGACUAGUUUUUCAAUGGCAGCAACUUGCUGUUUCUGCACGGCAGCCAUUUCUUUCUGGUGGCGCUUUUUCAGCGCCUCAAGGUCUUUCUGCUGUUUGCGACCAACUUUAGAAAACCCUUUUUCAGCUUUGAGGCUGUCAACGGUAACAUCCUCAAAUCUUAGCUCUGUAUCCUCAGCUAAUUUGAAGUUGGUGUUAGAUUGAAGAAAAUGAAAAAAAAAUUUGCAACCAACCUUUGCGACGCGCUUCCUCUCUGCGAGAACGCUCGGCCGCUGAUUCGAGGGUGGUGUUGGCUUCCUCGAUUCCCAUGACCUUGAGACGCUCAGUGGGUGGAGCUUUUGGUGGCAUGACCGCGCGUCGGGGGUCGGACAAUGCAGCCAUAAAAUCUGAAGGUUAAUGAUUAUUUAAUAUGGUGAUAUUAAAUUAAAUGAUAAUAAUAGAUAUUCUCAAAAUUGCAGAAGUUGAUAGCUAUUUAAUUAAAUAGGAAAAUCAAUAAAAAUUUUGUAAACCGAAACCAGCGAUCACUUAUUAUUUAGAGAUUAUGCAACCUGGCGGACGCUCACGCGAUCGGUAUUGAUUGCAGCAACAAGUUGAUGUAGGCAACUUGCGCGACACGGUUGUCCACACGGUUGCAUAACUUUGUUAUGCUUUCGUUUUGACUGCCGUUUGUAUUGAAGCUCCUAAUAUUUAGGAACAGAAUUAAGAAGGAAAAUAUAUAUGGCGUUUAGUAAUUGAAAUUUUUUACAUUUAAAUUUUAGAUUUUUUGUCAUUAAUGACUGAAAUAAGAAGAAAAUUUUAAUUUUACACUCACCUUCAAAUCCAUCUGGGACGUAAAUCUUAAGUUCGAUGUUGCAGAAUAACAUGGGCAGAGACAUUGGAAAAUUUGCCUCUGUGCGUAGGGAGAUGUGCCUGUAACCAGCCUGCAGACCGUCGAGCGGCAAAAUGCGCUGGCCUAGCAGUUUGCCAUUCUCAUCGUAGACGCCAAAGCGCAGCACAGCAAGAUCAGCGUCAGGACACACUAUGUGCUGGUAAUUGAUGUUGACGUAAUCGUAGCCACUGCAGAUGGUCAGCGACCUGUCCUCCAGCUGCUCGCCGUGCCUGGUGACCAACUGGUUCAGCAGGCGCUGGUCUCGGGGCACGCCGCCCGCCCUGAUGUCGCUCACCUGGAAAUUUGAGUCAGCGCGCGGUUGAUUUGAUCAAAGGUUGGGAGAGUACCUGGCACAACUCGAUGACAUCGCCCUCACGCGCCUCGCUCUUCCAGUAUAUGAAAAAGCCGUAUUCAUCAACCUUGAAUACGCACUGUGAUUCAAAGUCGAUCGAGUCCUUUUCCUAUGCGCUCAGCGGUCGACCCGCGUCCCGGCCGAACCAACUUCACUGGCCAGGGCCCAACUGUCAGAGAAACGAGGGCCACUGAGACCCCAGGGGACCAGGGGGUGCGUUACCUGUGCGUCCGGACUAGAAAAUAAGCAGACUGACGGGAACCCAGCCCCUCGGUUGAUGUUGGUGCUCACGGCCGUGAGGCGCAUGCGCUGAGCACCAAAAGCAGAGCCACCGGUGUGAACGGCCUUCGCUGGAGUCUUAUUUUCAGAUGUUGACAAAGUGAUAAUGAUCCUCUUAUAUAAAUAUUUUCAUCAAACCCAGUCACACAGAUAUUUUGCAACCUUUUUGAACAGUUGGAUAUCCUUUUUUGAGUUGAAAAUUUUUAUUAAUCAAAAGUAAAAUUUUAAACAAAAAAUUUAAAACAUUUUUAUAAUUCAAAAAAUCAUGAUAAGAAUUACAAGAAUUAUAAUUACUUUUCUAAAGAAGUUAUUCUUUUUUAAAGUCAGUAUAAUUUAGAACAGGCCUCAUUUUGAGUUGUUCCUGCUGGCUGUGAGAGCAAGAAGGCCACUCCAAGGCAGACCUUACUGAGGGCACUCACUCUUUUAUCAUUUAUUUAUUCGCUUAUUUGAGUUUGCGCUCGUUCCACAUUUCCAAUUAAACGGCGAAAAAAGCGGGGCUAUAAUUUAAUGCCGUCGCUCUAGGCAGCACCUUUUUCCCACAGGUGUUGUGCUCCUAUGACGUCAACUUGCGGUGAGCGUAAAUAUAAAAUUGGGCGUAACAAUUAUUGUAAAUUAUAUCGAAUUAUAUACAAUGUGCGCGCAGGAGACUUGGACUCUUUUGGAGCAAGACUUUUCACUAGAUUAGUGGACAAAAAUGCAGUUUAAUUUUAAAACAAAAACCCUUUUAAAGCUGUUGCAAAAGUGAGAUUGAAGCAAAAUUUAGAAUGUAAUUUUUUUUAAUCAGUAGUAUGAACUGAAAAUUUAAAGCUUUAAAUAAUACUUGUUUACGUUUAAUCACGUUUAAUUAUGUUUUAUUCUGAAAGAACAUUUUAAAGUGGUUUAAUUGUAGGUUUAAAUAUGUUGGUUGAGUUCUCAUGAGUAUAAAUAAUUUAUCAGAAAUUUAAUUACCAUGAAUAGCAGUUUAAAUUAAAAAUUAUAACAAAGGUACUUAACUUCAAUGCUAAAUUGUGAUCUACUUUACAAGUGCAAAUCAGGUGAAAAAAAUGCGGCUAUAGAGAGAUAAAUUUUAAUAGCAGAGAGCUUAGAGUGGGGGUGCUCAUAGCAAUCAUAGUGCCUGCAUUAAUGGCAUUUAAUUGUUUUGAGGCAUUGAACUGAAAUUGUUAAGCACACAUGAAAACAAAUGUGUGGGAUAUAUUUAAGGCAAAAACGUGCACACACAUAUGGAGCGCUGCUGGCGUACAUGGAUAAUAAUAACAGAGCUCUACUAUAUCGAGGGCAGCAGACCCUUGAAAAUGUUGCGCGCUGACCUUUCCUACUUGCCUCUAAUUAACUUGUACGUCAGUCAUGAUAAAAAUAUAUCAAAAGAGAUUUUGAAUGACAAUCAUGGUUUUUACUUGUUGCGGUCAAAACAAGUCAAACUUGAAAAAUAAUUCGGCGUCAAGGCCAAUGGUAAAGAGAGGCAGUUUCUCUGUAAAAUAAAUUUCUGAAACUGGCUCAAGUUUGGAUUGAAUGGAAAAAAUUUAACAAUUGUUGAAAUAUGCAAGUUUAGGAAACAAGAGCAUAUCAAGCAUAUUAUGGAAAUUAAAAAAUAUAAGUAAUUAUCAUAUUACGUUUAAUUUAUAAGUAAACCCUUUAAAGUUUUUGAUAUAAAAUUCUUUCGUCAAUUUUUAUUAUAAAUCUUUGACAGAAUUGGUAUUAUUGUUAAAUCUAUUCGAUUUUAGACACACUAAGUCUCUUAUUUGGCAGUUAGCAAAUUAACUGUUAUUCAAUAACAUAGA